UCAUAGUCAUUAUCUGACCGUCCCUAUAGUCAACUGCUCUCUUCCUCUUGAGCCCUGCAACGGUGGUAUAGUGGACUAUGAGAGGUGGUUGAACGAGAUAGUGUCAGAGGGAACAGUGCUGACUUACCAGUGUGACAGUAGACUCUCACUGACUGGACCCAACAACGUCACUUGCACUAAUGCUGGAGUCUGGAGCACAGAGCCUGAGGCAAUCAUUUGUGUACUUAUAACUGAAGUUUCUACUGUCGCUCCUUUGUUCUCCACUUCUGCAACUGUCGCUAUCAGUGUGGUCAUCACUUUCAUUGUCACUCUAGUCAUUGGAUUCCUCACUGGGCUCCUAGUGAUGCAUGUUUUCUCUCGUAAGAAGACGGUGUACUUCCCGGCAACUGAAGGACAAGCUAACGUAGGACCCACUAUACACUAGCUGGUCCUGUUUAUGAAGAGGUGUCACCCACAGAGGAGAUUGAACUGAACACUAACCAGGCGUAUGGACCAGUAGGACUGUGAACCUCGUUCACUCUUUAUUUUAAUAUUCAAUAGCAAUAAAACUUUCAUUAUUAUACCGUGGUUUUUCUGACUUCCUCAAUCGAGUAAUAAAAUCUUUUGAACCAAA